UCGAAGAAAAGUUCACUCUUUUUAUUUUAAAAAGGAAAUACCCACCCUAGACAAAAUUUUAAUGGAGCUUGGCCGAGAUGACAGUAUUCCGUUGAUAAGUAGAAAACUUUUAUGGAAAACUUUAAAAAAUAUGGAUUUUGCCUGGGAAAAGCAUAACCGCAAAGCACUUUUACUGGAGAGCGACGAAAUUGUUUGUUGGAGACGACAAUACUUGAGAAGUAUCAAGCAGUACCGCAGGGAGCAAAAGAAAGUUUUUUAUCUUGAUGAGACGUGGAUUAACGAAGGUUAUAUAGUCCAAAAAAUGUGGCAAGACAAAAAUAUAACCAGUGCUCGCCAAGCUUUCAUAGAAGGCCUGUCUACGGGUAUUAAAGUACCUUCGGGAAAAGGAAAAAGACUUAUAAUCACACAUAUUGGAAGCGAAAAGGGAUUUUUAAAAGAAGGUCUGCUAACCUUUGAGUCGACUCGCACAGGAGAUUACCAUGAAGACAUGAACUCAGACGUUUUCUAGGACUAUUUUGGUGAAAUGAUAAAAUUUCUUCCGGCUAAUUCGGUAGUGGUUAUGGAUAACGCAAGCUAUCAUUCACGGCGAAUAGAGAAGACGCCAACUUCAAGUUGGAGAAAGCAAGAAAUUAUCGAUUGGCUGACUGCAAAAGGUAUUGCGUUUGAAGCAAAUUUGAUAAAAAAAGAACUGCUGGCAAUAGCAAACUUACACAAAACUCGUUUCAUGAAAUACGCCGUGGAAGAUAUAGCCGAAAAAUAUAAUAUAACUGUACUGCGCUUACCGCCAUAUCAUUGCGAACUAAAUCCUAUAGAACUGAUAUGGGCGCAGGUAAAAGGAUUUGUAGCAAGACAAAACACGACUUUUAAAAUGAAAGAUGUUAAGCUACUGUUUGAUCAAGCCAUUACGGAAGCGACACCAGAGAAUUGGCGAAAAGCAGUCCAGCAUGUAAUUAAGCAAGAGGACAAAAUGUGGGAUCUUGACAACCUUAUCGAUCAGACAGUCGAUCCUUUAAUUAUAAUGUCGAGAGGUGAUGACAGUUCGUCAGAUGACGAAGAAGACUACAAUCUAUUAUAAUUUAAAAUUGUUAUACACUGUUCAAAAAGUGCCAGAUCCAAAAGUGACAUUUUCAACUGUUUUACUCUACUACUAUAUUAUGUUCAAUAAAUUUGUGAAAAAAAUAUAUUAUUCCAUUUAAAGAAAAGUAACUUUCUGAAAUAAAAUAGCAUUUAAGUACAUUAAUUAUAAGGUAAAAAACAAGUCCCAGUUACACGCCUUUGGCGAACCGUUUUCAAUGUUUAUCAGUAGGUAACAAUGGGCAAAACUCAUAAAUUGACCCAAAACCGGGUGGCACUACCUGCAAUCAACGAAAAGAAAGAAUUUUACAUUGAAACUAAUACCCAACUAAGGUAGUGGCAUAAAAUAUUGGUGGAUCACCAGGUACCACUUUUGCAUACCUAAUGAGGUUUUAUUGCUCUACACACUUCUGGAAUAGAGUAUAAAAGCUGUUUCUUUAGCAUAAAAGACGCACUUAUGGCGACGACAAAAAACAAUAGGUGUGUUUACAGGGGAUGUCUUAAUAAAAAGAAACAUAAAAACAAUCAUGUGAGUUUCUUUAAGUUCCCAGUGUCUAAAUCACAUAUACUUUUUGAGUGGAUUCAGAACUGUGGAAAUAUGGAUAUUUUUUUAAUGGAGGAGACACUACUAAAAAAUAAACGAAUAUGUGAAAAUCAUUUUUUGAAAAAUGAUAUUUACAUAAGUGGUCAAAGAAAACUAUUAAGAAAAAAUGCGGUACCCUUAUCUUGGAAAAAUACAAAAAUAAUUCCUGGCACCUCGCAAAUUCAAGAGAAUAUUUCGCAGCCUAAUCCAAAAAAUGUUAAGGAAGUUAUUCCUAGUUAUUCGAAAACUAAGGAGAAUACUUGGCAGCAUACUCGCAUUUCUACAACUCUAGGAGAUAAACCAUUAAAAACUUAUUCUCGUAAGAGGCUUCACGAAGAUGAGAUCGUCGUUGGUCAACGUGAAAAUGUUAAAUUUGUAAAAUACACUCCCAGUUCCCAAAGCACACGGACAGUUCCAAAGAACAUUGUAGAUUAUCCAGAUACCGCAUCUUCUACAAAAUCUAUUAUUAAAAAAAAAUCUAUAGUUUUAACUUCAUUAGAAAAAAAGUUAAAAGCUCAAAAAAAUGAAUAUUUACGUCUUAAAAAGAAGGCAAAUCUAGCGUCUAAGAACUUUUUCGCCCAUUUAUUAACAGGAAAAAGUACUGCUGUUAAAACAUUAAUUAACAUGCAGUUAUCCCCAACGAAGAAAAAAUUUUGGACGACCAAUGAGCGACAUUUGGCACUUUCUUUUUAUUAUAAGUCGCCUGCAUGUUACAAGUUUUUAAGAGAAGAAUUGCGGUUUUCGUUGCCGUCCAUUCGUACGAUUCAGUCGUAGCUUCGAGUUAUGUAUUUAAAAACUGGUUUGGAAAAUAUCUUGACAAAGAAAAUAAACUAAAAAAAAGGUCGGAACCUUCGAACAUUGAAAGCCUAGAAUUAGCAAGCAAUAAGUUUGUUUGAGUUCAACAUGUGCCAGGGGUAAGGAGGGUGUUUUGUUUAUAAACAUAGUCAUCGAUUCUCUGUUGUCAAGUUUACACGCAUUUUAAAAAGAGGACAUUUUCGGCUAUGUAUGAACACAUAUAAUAAUCGUAAUUUAACUUAUUGAUGUCAGAUUUUGGAUUAAAAAAACCUAACUAAAGUAUAAAUAGAUAUAUGUUAUUCUAAACGUGAAAAUAGCAUCUUUAAAGCAAAACAAAUAUUAACAUUUUUAUUUCUAAAACCGCUUCUAAAAAAUUUGAACUGGCAACACUACAGGCAAAAGCUGAUGUCAUCUUGAUAAACGGCUUUGUUGUAUAAUAAAAACUUUAAUAAAAAAGAAAUUUAUUAAGGAAUCUAUAAUAAUUAUAAAUUAUUUAAUUUCCAUGAAAAUGCUUUUUAUUAGAUAAGUACCUUUACUCUAACGAAGUACGUUAGAAAAACGCAUAAAGAGUUCAUGAAUGGUAACAUUGUUUAUAAUUUAAAGCGUAAUAUAAUAAUAAAUAUUUAUCAUGUAAAUAUUUUUCGACGUCGUCAUUGGUCAAUCAACAAUGCGAUCGGGCGGCGUUGCGAUGUUGUUGCCUUUUUCUCUAAUAUAGGGACGUUUGACUUCUUUAUAGAAUAUCUUUUCAUAUUUUAUGAAAAAAAAAAUGUUGUUAAAGAGGAAUAUUAUUAUUUUGCGCCUGUUAAAUAAGUGAUACAUUUUUACGAUAUUAUAAAGUAGGUUUUUUUGUCAUUUCUACAUAAGCAUUUGGCAUCAUUGCAUCAGAGAUGUUGCUAGCAAACAAACGGCCCAUAGUUCAAUUGCAAUACUAAUUCUUUCAAUGUUCUAAGGUCGAAACCAUGAUAGAAGAGAACGAGCAUGUGUAGUCUUUUUUAAUGCAAUUAAAUAAGAGCCUAAGUCACAAUAUAAUAAAUAUUAUCAUCCUAAGCAACACGCGAGGUUUAUUUUUGGUUUACACGUUUAAGUAUUAAGUAAGUUAAGCGUUUAAGUAUGGUAUAUUGUUUACUAUUUAAAGACUAUACUAUAGACUAUUGUUUACUAUUUAUAUGUUUAAUAAACAAAUAUACUUACCAUUAAUAAAA
rnacentral:misc_RNA from 1 species